rnacentral:rRNA from 1 species
GACGAACGCUGGCGGCGUGCUUAACACAUGCAAGUCGAACGCUGAAGCUCAGCUUUUGUUGGGUGGAUGAGUGGCGAACGGGUGAGUAACACGUGAGUAACCUGCCUCCUUCUUUGGGAUAACGCCCGGAAACGGGUGCUAAUACUGGAUAUUCACUGGUCUUCGCAUGGGGGUUGGUGGAAAGGGUUUUUCUGGUGGGGGAUGGGCUCGCGGCCUAUCAGCUUGUUGGUGGGGUGAUGGCCUACCAAGGCUUUGACGGGUAGCCGGCCUGAGAGGGGGAACGGUCACAUUGGGACUGAGAUACGGCCCAGACUCCUACGGGAGGCAGCAGUGGGGAAUAUUGCACAAUGGGCGCAAGCCUGAUGCAGCGACGCCGCGUGAGGGAUGGAGGCCUUCGGGUUGUGAACCUCUUUCGCUCAUGGUCAAGCCGCAACAAUGGUUGUGGUGAGGGUAGUGGGUAAAGAAGCGCCGGCUAACUACGUG